rnacentral:sRNA from 2 species
GGCUGAAAUACAUCAGGCAAGGACGGGGGAACCACAACCGGCGAAUUUCCUAUUCGUCUUGGGGUGAAGCCUGGUUGGCCGGCACUCGAAAUCCUUUGCGACGCAGUCCCUGCGACUGUGCCUUGGACAGACGUGUGCCGCGGACCGGGCCGGAUCAAAUGAAACACUCUCUGAUCCGAAUCCGACAGCUAACUCCGCAGGUGUCCAACAGAGAGGUAAU